GUAGGGAAUCUUCCACAAUGGACGAAAGUCUGAUGGAGCAACGCCGCGUGAACGAUGAAGGCCUUCGGGUCGUAAAGUUCUGUUGUAAGGGAAGAACAAGUGCCGCAGGCAAUGGCGGCACCUUGACGGUACCUUGCGAGAAAGCCACGGCUAACUACGUGCCAGCAGCCGCGGUAAUACGUAGGUGGCAAGCGUUGUCCGGAAUUAUUGGGCGUAAAGCGCGCGCAGGCGGCCUCUUAAGUCUGAUGUGAAAGCCCCCGGCUCAACCGGGGAGGGCCAUUGGAAACUGGGAGGCUUGAGUAUAGGAGAGAAGAGUGGAAUUCCACGUGUAGCGGUGAAAUGCGUAGAGAUGUGGAGGAACACCAGUGGCGAAGGCGACUCUUUGGCCUAUAACUGACGCUGAGGCGCGAAAGCGUGGGGAGCAAACAGG
rnacentral:rRNA from 1 species